GAAAGGUUCCAUGUGAACG
rnacentral:snRNA from 1 species